rnacentral:rRNA from 1 species
GUGACGCUGGCGGCGCGCUUAAUGCAUGCAAGUCGAGCGUGAUCGUGGCUUCGGCCACAAUGAUAAAGCGGCAGACGGCUGAGUAACGCGUGAGUAAUCUGCCCUCCGGUGGGGUAUAGCCUCGGGAAACUGAGGAUAAUCCCGCAUACGACCCGCAUCCUUUGGGGUGCAGGUGAAAGGCUUCGGUCGCCGGAGGAGGAGCUCGCGUCCUAUCAGGUUGUUGGUGAGGUAAUGGCUCACCAAGCCGAUGACGGGUAGCUGGUCUGAGAGGAUGACCAGCCAGAGGGGGACUGAGAACGGCCCCCACUCCUACGGGAGGCAGCAGCAGGGAAUCUUGGGCAAUGGGCGAAAGCCUGACCCAGCGACGUCGCGUGGGGGACGAAGGCCUUCGGGUUGUAAACCCCUUUUCCGAGGGAAGAGAAAGGACGGUACCUCGGGAAUAAGCCCCGGCUAACUACGUGCCAGCAGCCGCGGUAAUACGUAGGGGGCAAGCGUUACCCGGAAUCACUGGGCGUAAAGUGCGCGUAGGCGGUUGGAUAAGUCUCUUGUGAAAGCUCCCGGCUCAACUGGGAGAGGUCAAGGGAUACUAUUCGACUUGAGGACAGCAGAGGUAAGCAGAAUUCCCGGUGUAGCGGUGGAAUGCGUAGAUAUCGGGAGGAACACCAGUGGCGAAAGCGGCUUACUGGGCUGUAUCUGACGCUGAGGCGCGAGAGCGUGGGGAGCAAACUGGAUUAGAUACCCAGGUAGUCCACGCCCUAAACGAUGGAUACUAGGUAUGGGGGGGUAUUGACCCCCUCCGUGCCGUAGCUAACGCGUUAAGUAUCCCGCCUGGGGACUACGGCCGCAAGGCUAAAACUCAAAGGAAUUGAC